rnacentral:rRNA from 1 species
GAACGCUGGCGGCGUGCCUAAUACAUGCAAGUCGAGCGAACAGACGAGGAGCUUGCUCCUCUGACGUUAGCGGCGGACGGGUGAGUAACACGUGGAUAACCUACCUAUAAGACUGGGAUAACUUCGGGAAACCGGAGCUAAUACCGGAUAAUAUAUUGAACCGCAUGGUUCAAUAGUGAAAGACGGUUUUGCUGUCACUUAUAGAUGGAUCCGCGCCGCAUUAGCUAGUUGGUAAGGUAACGGCUUACCAAGGCGACGAUGCGUAGCCGACCUGAGAGGGUGAUCGGCCACACUGGAACUGAGACACGGUCCAGACUCCUACGGGAGGCAGCAGUAGGGAAUCUUCCGCAAUGGGCGAAAGCCUGACGGAGCAACGCCGCGUGAGUGAUGAAGGUCUUCGGAUCGUAAAACUCUGUUAUUAGGGAAGAACAAAUGUGUAAGUAACUAUGCACGUCUUGGCGGUACCUAAUCAGAAAGCCACGGCUAACUACAUG